AUACAAACACGGAUUACAGUUCGGACGAAGAAUGGCAGAUAAUAAGAAAAAUAAAACGUAAAAAAAAUGAUCGCAUAAAAAAUUAUGUGCAAAUUGUUGUUGCACGCUAUGAAGAUUACGAAUUUAAAAGUCAUUUUAGGUUAGAAUAUAACAGAUUAUGUAGAAGUACCUUCGAACAUACCAUAUUUUAACUAUAAUUAACAUUAACCUUGUUUGGAAAAUACCCGGUUAUCAAACAAUUCCACCUCGUGAACAGCUUAUGAUUGCUUUGUGGAAAAUGGCUACAAUGGAUUCUUAUAGACGGUGGAUCUUAUGAGCAGUGUGGUGCAGUGUUUACUAUGUUUAGUCUCAUAUACGACAAUACUUAAAAAUUGACAUUUUGUGAUUGACAUAUAAUAAAGUAGACGUGGUACACACAUGUUUAAUUUGUAAAAAGCGAUCAGACAAAUCGCAAGAUUUGUCGUUCCAUCGAUUCCCGUCAAAUUCUAUUAUUCGACAACAGUGGCUUAUCGUUGGAAACUUGAAACGAGUAACAGGAAGAAAUACAUUUGUCCGUUCGAGCCAUUUUGAGAGCGAAUGCUAUCGCUAUGGACUGGUCAAUGGAAAAAAAUUUUUGAAACCAGAGAGUAAACCAACUUUAAAUCUUGGAACUGAAACUUCUUCACUACAAAUUCAUAAUAAUAAUUUGCUACAAAACAAACGUAUCAAACAAAAAUGCAACCAAGUAUAAGUGAGUUGGUCAUAUCGAGGAAACGAGAAACACCAUUGGCUGAAGUUAUUUCUACAAAGAAGAUAAGAAAUCCGACUAACUGGUAUAACAUCGGAAGAACUUUCCAAGUCAUUAACGUAAGGCAAAAAUUGUGUGGGAGACAAUACAAGAAGAGCUAUUAAAUCGUGGAAAAAUGAUUACGAGAAACACCAUUGGCUGAAGUUAUUUCUACAAAGAAGGUAAGAAAUCCGACUAACUGAUAUAACAUGGGAAGAACUUUCGAAGUCAUUAACGCAAGGCAAAAAUUGAGUGGGAGACAAUACAAGAAGAGCUAUUAAAUCGUGGAAAAAAGAUUAAAAGAAACACCAUUGGCUGAAGUUAUUUCUACAAAGAAGAUAAGAAAUCCGACUAACUGAUAUAACAUGGGAAGAACUUUCCAAGUCAUUAACGCAAGUCAAAAAUUUUGUGGGAAACAAUACAAGAAGAGCUAUUAAAUCGUGGAAAGAGGAUUUAGUGUUUAGAGCGUAAAGUUCGCCGUACGAAGCAGAAGAUUUUGACCUUCAAAUCGUUUAUGAAAGAU